rnacentral:rRNA from 1 species
AGAGUUUGAUUCUGGCUCAGGAUGAACGCUAGCUACAGGCUUAACACAUGCAAGUCGAGGGGCAGCAUGAAACUUAGCUUGCUAAGUUUGAUGGCGACCGGCGCACGGGUGAGUAACACGUAUCCAACCUACCGUUUACUACGGGAUAGCCUUCUGAAAAGGAGAUUAAUACCGUAUGGUAUUCUAAAGUUUCAUGACAUUAGAAUUAAAGGUUUACCGGUAAUCGAUGGGGAUGCGUUCCAUUAGAUAGUAGGCGGGGUAACGGCCCACCUAGUCAGCGAUGGAUAGGGGUUCUGAGAGGAAGGUCCCCCACAUUGGAACUGAGACACGGUCCAAACUCCUACGGGAGGCAGCAGUGAGGAAUAUUGGUCAAUGGGCGAGAGCCUGAACCAGCCAAAAGUAGCGUGAAGGAUGACUGCCCUAUGGGUUGUAAACUUCUUUUAUAAAGGAAUAAAGUGGUCCACGUGUGGAUUUUUGUAUGUACUUUAUGAAUAAGGAUCGGCUAACUCCGUGCCAGCCGCGGC